rnacentral:rRNA from 1 species
GACGUAGGGCGCGAGCGUUGUCCGGAUUUAUUGGGCGUAAAGAGCUCGUAGGCGGCUUGUCGCGUCGUCCGUGAAAACCAGGGGCUCAACCCCUGGCUUGCGGUCGAUACGGGCAGGCUAGAGUUCGGUAGGGGAGACUGGAAUUCCUGGUGUAGCGGUGAAAUGCGCAGAUAUCAGGAAGAACACCUAUGGCGAAGGCAGCUCUCUGGGACGGUACUGACGCUGAGACGCGAAAGCGUGGGGAGCGAACAGG